ACUCAAAGGAAUUGACGGGGGCCCGCACAAGCGGUGGAGCAUGUGGUUCAAUUCGACGCAACGCGAAGAACCUUACCUGGGCUCGAAAUGAAGUGGAAUCCGGUGGAAACAUCGGCGCUCGCAAGAGCCGCUUUAUAGGUGCUGCAUGGCUGUCGUCAGCUCGUGUCGUGAGAUGUUGGGUUAAGUCCCGCAACGAGCGCAACCCUUAUCGUUAGUUGCCACCGGGUCAAGCCGGGCACUCUAGCGAAACCGCCUCGGAUAACGGGGAGGAAGGGGGGGAUGACGUCAAGUCCUCAUGGCCUUUAUGUCCAGGGCUACACACGUGCUACAAUGGUCGGUACAAACCGUCGCAAACCCGCGAGGGGGAGCUAAUCGGAAAAAGCCGGCCUCAGUUCGGAUUGGAGUCUGCAACUCGACUCCAUGAAGCUGGAAUCGCUAGUAAUCGCGGAUCAGAACGCCGCGGUGAAUACGUUCCCGGGCCUUGCACACACCGCCCGU
rnacentral:rRNA from 1 species